rnacentral:rRNA from 1 species
GGGUAACGGGGUGUUAGGGCACGACACCGGAGAGGGAGCCUGAGAAACGGCUACCACAUCCAAGGAUGGCAGCAGGCGCGCAAAUUACCCAAUCCCGACACGGGGAGGUAGUGACAAUAAAUAACAAUACGGGGUUCUUUCGGAUCUCGUAAUUGGAAUGAGUACAAUUUAAAUCUCUUAACGAGGAACAAUUGGAGGGCAAGUCUGGUGCCAGCAGCCGCGGUAAUUCCAGCUCCAAUAGCGUAUAUUAAAGUUGUUGCAGUUAAAAAGCUCGUAGUUGAAUUUCGGGAUCAAGGAAUCGGUCAUGCCUUGGUAUGUACUGGUUUUAUUGGUUCUCACCUUCUAAAGAACCAUAAUGUCAUUUAUUUGAUGUUAUGGGGAAUUAGGACUGUUACCUUGAAAAAAUUAGAGUGUUUAAAGCAAGCUUACGCUUGAAUACAUUAGCAUGGAAUAAUGAAAUAGGACAUCAGAUUCUAUUUUGUUGGUUUCUAGGAUCGAUGUAAUGAUUAAUAGGGAUAGUUGGGGGCAUUAGUAUUCAAUUGUCAGAGGUGAAAUUCUUGGAUUUAUUGAAGACUAACUACUGCGAAAGCAUUUGCCAAGGAUGUUUUCAUUAAUCAAGAACGAAAGUUAGGGGAUCGAAGACGAUCAGAUACC